GGGGCUGUAGCUCAAUGGCAGAGCACCUGCUUUGAAUGCAGGUGGUCGCAGGUUCAAUCCCUGACGGCAUCU